GACGAACGCUGGCGGCGUGCUUAACACAUGCAAGUCGAACGAAGUGGCGAACGGGUGAGUAACGCGUAAUCAACCUGCCCUUCAGAGGGGGACAACAGUGGGAAACGACUGCUAAUACCGCAUACUGAAGGAGGGGAUUUCGUCGGAUUAGCUAGUUGGAGGGGUAACGGCCCACCAAGGCGAUGAUCAGUAGCCGGUCGUGGAGGAUGAACGGCCACAAUGGGACUGAGAACCUGCCCAGACUCCUACGGGAGGCAGCAGGGGGGAAUCAUCCGCAAUGGACGAAAGUCUGACGGAGCAACGCCGCGGUAGUGAUGACGGCCCUCGGGUUGGAAAGCUCUGUUAAGCGGGACGCGGUACCGGAAUAGAAAGCCACGGCUAACUACGUGCCAGCAGCCGCGGUAAUUC
rnacentral:rRNA from 1 species